rnacentral:tRNA from 1 species
GCCGUGGCAGCUCAGAGGGCAAGGGCGUCCAGCUCCUGACUGGAAGGUCCCGGGUUCAAUCCCGGUAGGGGCG